AUUGCUCACUUUGGCAAUACAUAUUCUAAAAUUGGAACAAUACAGAGAAGAUUAGCACGGCUCCUGUGCAAGGACCACACACAAAAUUCAUGAAGCAUUCCACAUUUUU